AUUGAACGCUGGCGGCAGGCCUAACACAUGCAAGUCGAGCGGAUGACGGGAGCUUGCUCCUUGAUUCAGCGGCGGACGGGUGAGUAAUGCCUAGGAAUCUGCCUGGUAGUGGGGGACAACGUUUCGAAAGGAACGCUAAUACCGCAUACGUCCUACGGGAGAAAGCAGGGGACCUUCGGGCCUUGCGCUAUCAGACGAGCCUAGGUCGGAUUAGCUAGUUGGUGGGGUAAUGGCUCACCAAGGCGACGACCCGUAACUGGUCUGAGAGGAUGAUCAGGCACACUGGAACUGAGAAACGGUCCAGACUCCUACGGGAGGCAGCAGUGGGGAAUAUUGGACAAUGGGCGAAAGCCUGAUCCAGCCAUGCCGCGUGUGUGAAGAAGGUCUUCGGAUUGUAAAGCACUUUAAGUUGGGAGGAAGGGCAGUAAGCUAAUACCUUGCUGUUUUGACGUUACCGACAGAAUAAGCACCGGCUAACUCUGUGCCAGCAGCCGCAGUAA
rnacentral:rRNA from 1 species